GAUGCAUCUGAUUUUUUGACAUCACAGCAUACUUUACUUGAUGGGAAUGAAUAAAAUUUCCUCCUAUAAUUCCAAACCUCUGCAUCAAGUUGUUAAAUGGUAUAAACCUGUUAUUUUGAAAGAGGUGAUACAGAGUUUCACUUAGCCUCCA